GGGUGAUGGCGUGCCUUUUGUAGAAUGAACCGGCGAGUUACGAUUUGAUGCAAGGUUAAGCAGUAAAUGUGGAGCCGUAGCGAAAGCGAGUCUGAAUAGGGCGUUUAGUAUUUGGUCGUAGACCCGAAACCAGGUGAUCUACCCUUGGUCAGGUUGAAGUUCAGGUAACACUGAAUGGAGGACCGAACCGACUUACGUUGAAAAGUGAGCGGAUGAACUGAGGGUAGCGGAGAAAUUCCAAUCGAACCUGGAGAUAGCUGGUUCUCUCCGAAAUAGCUUUAGGGCUAGCCUCAAGUGAUGAUUAUUGGAGGUAGAGCACUGUUUGGACGAGGGGCCCCUCUCGGGUUACCGAAUUCAGACAAACUCCGAAUGCCAAUUAAUUUAACUUGGGAGUCAGAACAUGGGUGAUAAGGUCCGUGUUCGAAAGGGAAACAGCCCAGACCACCAGCUAAGGUCCCAAAAUAUAUGUUAAGUGGAAAAGGAUGUGGCGUUGCCCAGACAACUAGGAUGUUGGCUUAGAAGCAGCCAUCAUUUAAAGAGUGCGUAAUAGCUCACUAGUCGAGUGACACUGCGCCGAAAAUGUACCGGGGCUAAACAUAUUACCGAAGCUGUGGAUUGUCCUUUGGACAAUGGUAGGAGAGCGUUCUAAGGGCGUUGAAGCAUGAUCGUAAGGACAUGUGGAGCGCUUAGAAGUGAGAAUGCCGGUGUGAGUAGCGAAAGACGGGUGAGAAUCCCGUCCACCGAUUGACUAAGGUUUCCAGAGGAAGGCUCGUCCGCUCUGGGUUAGUCGGGUCCUAAGCUGAGGCCGACAGGCGUAGGCGAUGGAUAACAGGUUGAUAUUCCUGUACCACCUAUAAUCGUUUUAAUCGAUGGGGGGACGCAGUAGGAUAGGCGAAGCGUGCGAUUGGAUUGCACGUCUAAGCAGUAAGGCUGAGUAUUAGGCAAAUCCGGUACUCGUUAAGGCUGAGCUGUGAUGGGGAGAAGACAUUGUGUCUUCGAGUCGUUGAUUUCACACUGCCGAGAAAAGCCUCUAGAUAGAAAAUAGGUGCCCGUACCGCAAACCGACACAGGUAGUCAAGAUGAGAAUUCUAAGGUGAGCGAGCGAACUCUCGUUAAGGAACUCGGCAAAAUGACCCCGUAACUUCGGGAGAAGGGGUGCUCUUUAGGGUUAACGCCCAGAAGAGCCGCAGUGAAUAGGCCCAAGCGACUGUUUAUCAAAAACACAGGUCUCUGCUAAACCGUAAGGUGAUGUAUAGGGGCUGACGCCUGCCCGGUGCUGGAAGGUUAAGAGGAGUGGUUAGCUUCUGCGAAGCUACGAAUCGAAGCCCCAGUAAACGGCGGCCGUAACUAUAACGGUCCUAAGGUAGCGAAAUUCCUUGUCGGGUAAGUUCCGACCCGCACGAAAGGCGUAACGAUUUGGGCACUGUCUCAACGAGAGACUCGGUGAAAUCAUAGUACCUGUGAAGAUGCAGGUUACCCGCGACAGGACGGAAAGACCCCGUGGAGCUUUACUGUAGCCUGAUAUUGAAAUUCGGCACAGCUUGUACAGGAUAGGUAGGAGCCUUUGAAACGUGAGCGCUAGCUUACGUGGAGGCGCUGGUGGG
rnacentral:rRNA from 1 species